CGCGCCAAGGCCGGGCACCUGAGGUUGGCGUCCGCGGGGCUCCCAAGCUGGAGGCCUGAUCGAGCCCGGCGCGAGUAGGGCUCGCACCCGCGGCUAUGACUGGGACAGGCCCCGGGGCCGCGCCUCCGAGGAGGAUGGUGAGGAUGAGCCUGAUGUGGGCAGAAUUCAAAUGACCUGGACAGUGCUGUGAAGUUGCUGCAAGCAGCCCCAGAGCCUGGAGAUGGCUCCAUUGAUGAUGUCCUUGGUGACCUCUUGGGGGAUGACAUGGCACCACCCGCGAAGCCUGUUAAAUUGGCUUCACAUGCCCAAGACACCACAGGUGCAGCUCAGCUGCUCCCUUCUUCAAGGACUAGAACAAAGUAAGCACAGGACUGGCUUGGGUGUCCACUACCUCUUUCAUUCCAAAUGUCCCCUUUUCCUCAACCUCCCUACUUCUCAUAUAGUGGGUACUCCUUUUUUUUUUUUUUUAAUUAACUUUUAAUUUUGAAUUGCCUUAGGACUUAACAGGACAGUUACAAAAAUAAUAAACACCCCAUGCAGAGAACUCCAACACAUCCCAUCCUACAUCCACCA
rnacentral:lncRNA from 1 species